GCUGCAGCUUUCUCUUUCCUUACUCAAGACUGCUCAAGGCCACCCAAUGCUUCUAAUUCAUGGUGGUUGUAUGUUGUAACCGUUGGUGGAAUUGAGAAACGGAUAGACUUCCGAUGGGCAUUUGGUAUAUUGUGAUGCUUAGAUGAACAUCCAUCUCUGUUUAGCUUUAAUUUUCUUUAACCCUAAUAUCCUUGAUCUGUUUUAGAUUCCAAAAUUUCCCAUCCCUUUCCAUGCGUUCAUUUUAUGUUCUUGACCCUGGCUUUUCUUGCAAGUUGCUUGAUUUUUAUUUUUGGCUUUAAAAAACAUGGUAACCAUCUCAACUGUCUUUGAUUUCAAAACUUUCUAUCUUUCUCCUGUUUUCUGACACUUAUUUUUUUUUUCUUGUGUUAGCUGCAGCUUCCUCUUUAUUUACUCAAGACUGCUCAAGGCCACCCAAUGGUAAGAAAGAGAUGUCUGUUUUUCUUGUCGUCUCAUUUGACCAUACGAAUCCAGAAUUUUCUGCAAAUUUGUAGACUUUGUUUUACAGCCUUUUUCAUUUUUUUUAUGCAGCUUGUAAUUCAUGGUGGUUCUAUGAUGUAAUAGUUGGUGGAAUUGAAAAACGGAGAAACUUACAAUGUGCAUUUGGUCAAUUGUGAUGCUUGGUUGAACAUCCAUCUCCGUUUAGCUUUAAUUUUCCUUAACCCUAAUAUCCUUGAUCUGUUUUAGAUUUCAAAAUUUGCCAUCCCUUUCCAUGCUUUCAUUUUAUGUUCUUGAGCCUGGCUUUUCUUGCAGGUUGCUUGAUUUUUCUUUUUAGCUCUAAAAAAUAGGGUAACCAUCUCAAGUGUCUUUGAUUUGAAAACUUUCUAUCUUUCUCCUGUUUUCUUUGACUCUCUUCAUUUUAUUUUUCUUGUGUUAGCUACAGCUUCCUCUUUCUUUACUCAAGAACUGCUCAAGGCCACCCAAUGGUAAGAAAGAAAUAUCUGUUUUUCUUGUAGUGUCAUUUGACCAUAUGAAUCCAGAAUUUUCUGCAAAUUUGUAGACUUUGUUUUACGGCCUUUAUCAUUUUUUUUAUGCAACUUGUAAUUCAUGGUGGUUGUAUGCUGUAACAGUUGGUGGAAUUGAAAAACGGAGAAACUUACAAUGGGCAUUUGGUCAAUUGUGAUGCUUGGAUGAACAUCCAUCUCCGUUUAGCUUUAAUUUUCUUUAACCCUAAUAUCCUUGAUCUGUUUUAGAUUCCAAAAUGGCUUGAUUUUUCUUUUUGGCUCUAAAAAACAUGGUAAACAUCUCAAUUGUCUUUGAUUUGAAAACUUUCUAUCUUUCUCCUGUUUUCUUUGACACCCUUAAAUUUUUUUUCUUAUGUUACCUGAAGCUUCCUCUUUCUUUGCUCAAGACUACUCAAGGCCACCCAAUGUUGGUGGAAUUGAAAUCGAAGAGACUUACGAUGGGCAUGUGGUCAAUUGUGAUGCUUGGAUGAACAUCCAUCUCUGUUUAGCUUUAAUUUUCUUUAACCCUAAUUACCUUGAUCUGUUUUAGAUUCCAAAAUUUCCCAUCCCUUUCCAUGCGUUCAUUUUAUGUUCUUGACACUGGCUUUUCUUGCAGGUUGCUUGAUUUUUCUUUUUUGCUCCAAAAAACAUGACUUCUCAGGCCACCCAAUGGUUGCUUGAUUUUUCUUUUUUGCUCCAAUAAACAUGACUGCUCAGGCCACCCAAUGGUAAGAAAGAGAUGUCUGUUUUUCUUGUCGUGUCAUUUUACCUUAUGAAUCCAGAUUUUUGUGCAAAUUUGUAGACUUUGUUUUACGGCCUUUAUCAUUUUUUUUAUGUACCUUGUAAUUCAUAGUGGUUGUAUGCUGUAACAGUUGGUGGAAUUGAAAAACGAAGAAACUUACAAUGGGCAUUUGGUCAUUUGUGAUGCUUGGAUGAACAUCCAUCUACGUUUCGUUUUAAUUUUCUUUAACCCUAAUAUCCUUGAUCUGUUUUAGAUUCCAAAAUGGCUUGAUUUUUCUUUUUGGCUCUAAAAAACAUGGUAAACAUCUCAAUUGUCUUUGAUUUGAAAACUUUCUAUCUUUCUCCUGUUUUCUUUGACACCUUUAAUUUUUUUUUUCUUGUGUUAACUGCAGCUUCCUCUUUGUUUGCUCAAGACUGCUCAAGGCCACCCAAUGGUAAGAAACAGAUGUCUGUUUUUCUUGUCAUGUCAUUUGACCAUAUGAAUCCAGAAUUUUCUGCAAAUUUGUAGACUUUGUUUUACGGCCUUUAUCAUUUUUUUUAUGCAGCUUUUAAUUCAUAGUGGUUGUAUGCUGUAACAGUUGGUGGAAUUGAAAAACGGAGAGACUUACGAUGGACAUUUGGUCAAUUGUGAUGCUUGGAUGAACAUCCAUCUCUGUUUAGCUUUAAUUUUCUUUAACCCUAAUAUCCUUGAUCUGUUUUAGAUUCCAAAAUUUCCCAUCCCUUUCCAUGCGUUCAUUUUAUGUUCGUGACCUUGGCUUUUCUUGCAGGUUGCUUGAUUUUUCUUUUUUGCUCUAAAAAACAUGUAACCAUCUCAACUGUCUUUGAUUUGAAAACUUUCUAUCUUUCUCCUGUUUUCUUUGACACUUAAUUUUUUUUUCUUCUGUUAACUGUUGCUUCCUAUUUCUUUGAUUUGAAAACUUUCUUUCUCUAGUUUUCUUUGACAUACUUAAUUUUUUUUUUCUUGUGUUAACUGCACCUUCCUCUUUCUUUAUUCAAAACUGCUCAAGGCCACGCAAUGGUAAGAAAGAGAUGUCCGUUUUUCUUGUCGUGUCAUUUGACCAUAUGAGUCCAGAAUUUUCUGCAAAUUUGUAGACUUUGUUUUACAGCUUUUUCCAUUUUUUUUAUGCAGCUUGUAAUGGUGGUUGUAUGUUGUAACCGUUGGUGGAAUUGAAAAACAGAGAGGCUUACGAUGGGCAUUUGGUCAAUUGUGAUGCUUGGUUGAACAUCCAUCUCCGUUUAGCUUUAAUUUUCCUUAACCCUAAUAUCCUUGAUCUGUUUUAGAUUCCAAAACUUGCCAUCCCUUUCCAUGCUUUCAUUUUAUGUUCUUGACCCUGGCUUUUCUUGCAGGUUGCUUGAUUUUUCUUUUUGGCUCUAAAAAACUUGCUUCCUCUUUCUUUACUCAAGACUGCUCAAGGCCACCCAAUGUUUGUAAUUCAUGGUGGUUGUAUGUUGUAAGAGUUGGUGGAACUGAAAGAAGGAGAGACUUACAAUGGGCAUUUGGUCAAUUGUGAUACUUGGAUGAACAUCCAUCUUUGUUUAGCUUUAAUUUUCUUUAACCCUAAUAUCCUUGAUCUGUUUUAGAUUCCAAAAUUUCCCAUCCCUUUCCAUGCCUUCAUUUUAUGUUCUUGACCCUGGCUUUUCUUGCAAGUUGCUUGAUUUUUAUUUUUGGCUCCAAAAAACAUGGUUACCAUCUCAACUGUCUUUUAUUUGAAAACUUUCUAUCUUUCUCCUGUUUUCUUUGACACUCUUAAUUUUAUUUUUCUUGUGUUAGCUGCAGCUUCCUCUUUCUUUGCUCAAGACUGCUCAAGGCCACCCAAUGCCGAUAUCUUUAAUGAAAUCCUAGGCGAUGAUGUUUUGGUCUUGCCCCCACAUGUACUCGGUACUUACUGAGAUAGGUGAUGUUUCUAUGCUUCCACUUAAGCAUUCAUCUUUUGAGAAGUGACAUGCUCUCUUUUAUUGGAACAUAUAGGUAUAACUGGAGUGUGAAAGAGUUGCAUAAAAUGCUUCAUUGGUGCAAUGAGCAACUUCAGCAGUUCAGCCAUAUGAACAAGAAGGCACUAGAUCAACAUGAGGUAAGUGACGAGGCACUCCAGAAAAGGCAAGCUGAACUUGAGGCAAGUGACGAGGUACUAUGGUACUGGAUUUUAAUGUUUAAAUAUCUUCUGUUUUACUUAUUGUUUUUAACGUGGGAUUAUAAUUGUAGUUUUGUGAGUAUGAAAAUGAUAUUUCUCUCAUUCUUGAUGCAUGAGUACAGUAUGUAUAUAUACAGGUCUAGGAUUAAUCUAAAUCCCUAGAAUCAAGCUAUAAUUGAAUGUAUAUAAAUCAGCCCUGCAAUCAGCCCUAUAACUGACAGCCCUAUAGUUGACUUACUCUAUUUAGAACAAUAAUCAAUCCUAUAAUUGAUUUACUAUAUUUAAAACAAUAAUUUACUUAUCUUUACUUCAACGACAAACAUAAGCACUAAAAAAGCAGACUGAGCGUGAGCUUGAUGUGAAAGACCUGCUAGAGAGAAUUUCAGGACAUAUCCAAGCCAAGGAUGAUGCUAUGAUUUAACGUGUGCUAUGCUAAAAUGUUCUUUGUCUGCUUGGCUUCUCGGAUUAGUUCAGUUGUUGGCGCGUGGACGACGCUCCACACUUUGGACGACGCGUGCACCAUCUCCUGGUAGUGUAAAAUGAAGGAGUUCACAUCUUUACGUGCAAAAGUCACUGCACUAGAGCAUAAUCUUCAUAAAUCUUGUCAAGAGGCCUCUAAUAAUCAUUAUCUCUGUUGUCAGUUAGAAAAGGAAUAUCAUGUAUCGGGUAUCCCAUUGGUAAUAUUGUUUUGAUUUGUUUACCAUGUUCCAAGUUUAAGGGUUCACUUAGAUUGGGGUAAUGGCAAUUGGGUUUCUUCAAAGAAGAGGGUUUCCUGAUUAUCUUAUGUGUUCUUUUCUCGACAAGGAAACAUUAUCAUUAAUAUCUUAUGUUUUGUAGGUUAACUUGUUGAAUUGCUCCAUUCAUUAGGGAAAAGAGGGAGGGGCUUGGCUAUUAUAUGCUUGAAAAGUGUAUUUUGCGGGACUGAUAAGAGAGUGUGUUUGGUCUGUAAGGAUUUCCUUAUCCAAAACUUGGAUAGCGCAACCCCAUACACCUAGCCCAUUUCAGUUCGAAAGUUAAUUGUGUUUGUAAAUUAUUUUUUCAUUGUGAUUAUUUUUUUAUAUAUGUUAUCUUAUUUAUUU